rnacentral:rRNA from 1 species
UGGGGAAUAUUGGACAAUGGGCGAAAGCCUGAUCCAGCCAUGCCGCGUGUGUGAAGAAGGCCUUAUGGUUGUAAAGCACUUUAAGCGAGGAGGAGGGUACUGGUAUUAAUACUACCAGGUACUGGACGUUACUCGCAGAAUAAGCACCGGCUAACUCUGUGCCAGCAGCCGCGGUAAUACAGAGGGUGCGAGCGUUAAUCGGAUUUACUGGGCGUAAAGCGUGCGUAGGCGGCUAAUUGAGUCGGAUGUGAAAUCCCCGAGCUUAACUUGGGAAUUGCAUUCGAUACUGGUUAGCUAGAGUGUGGGAGAGGAUGGUAGAAUUCCAGGUGUAGCGGUGAAAUGCGUAGAGAUCUGGAGGAAUACCGAUGGCGAAGGCAGCCAUCUGGCCUAACACUGACGCUGAGGUACGAAAGCAUGGGGAGCAAACAAG